rnacentral:rRNA from 1 species
UCCUACGGGGGGCAGCAGUGAGGAAUAUUGGUCAAUGGGCGGGAGCCUGAACCAGCCAAGUCGCGUGAGGGAAGACGGUCCUAUGGAUUGUAAACCUCUUUAGGCGGGGAGCAAUGCCGGGCACGCGUGCCCGGAGGGAGAGUACCCGCAGAAUAAGCAUCGGCUAACUCCGUGCCAGCAGCCGCGGUAAUACGGAGGAUGCGAGCGUUAUCCGGAUUUAUUGGGUUUAAAGGGUGCGCAGGCGGAAGCGGCAAGUCAGCGGUAAAAUUGCGGGGCUCAACCUCGCCGAGCCGUUGAAACUGCUC